rnacentral:lncRNA from 1 species
UCUAAUCUUUGUACACAUUGUUUUUCCCCCGAUCAAGGUCUGUUCCUUAUUUUUCUUGCUUUAUAAUACCAAAUUUAGCUUAUUUAAUACACACACUAUUCAAUUUAGUCCAUAACUCAUACUUUGACAAAAUAACCUUUUUACCCCUAACUUUUCACAUAUUUACAACAUAGUCCCUAGGCUCAUAAAAUGAAAUGUGUC